CCGCCUCUUUCUUUCUGGUUCUCUUUUCUUCUUUCUUCCUGUGCAGAGAAAAAAAUCAUUCUCCACUUCUCUUCUCUUACGUUGUUUCUCCUACACCAGUUAAUCUUAAUAUACUUCAUCUUAUCUUCUUCUUUUGUCCUCUACGGCUGGAUCCAUUCACAGUCACAGCUAGCAUAACUACCAUCUCCAUCACCACGAGCAACGCCAUCAGGGUAUUGGCUAUAAAAGGGGUGGGAAACAACCUCUAGAAUUAUAUAAAAGGGAUUUGCCAUUCGUGUUUGUAAAGUUCACAAGAGUAUGAAACACAACAUUUUUUUUUCCCAUUCGUGAGGGUUUGGUUCUGUCGGCCACAAGGGAGACAAGAGGCUGGUGAAAAGAAGGAAAUUCCUGAAAGCAUUCUAGGUCAAGUAAAGAAGCGUAUGUUGAAUACCCUGAUGAUGCAACUGAAGGUGUAAUUAUCUGCUUGUGAUGGGGGAAGAUGGGCGGUGAUGUAACAUAAUUUUUCGUUCGAUCCCUUGCAGUUAAGUAGAUCUAAUCUUGUGGAACAAACAAGUGGAUCAUCAAGUCGUUCUGCAAUUUCCAGCAGCCGGGAUGCAAUAAUAGGGUUCAAGUAUACUGAAACAUCCCAUCUUCGUAUUACUUGUACAACUCUAUUGGCUUACGCUUACCUCUGAUAUUUUUUUUAUUCUUAAUCCAUGCCUCUGAAUGGACUCAUACUAAACUAGUAAAUUUGUGGUUAAAAAAGAAUCUGCAAUUGUGUAUUCUAAGAUAUUUGCCCUCCGUUUUAUGCAGAUACAUAUCUUAUA